rnacentral:rRNA from 1 species
GAGUUUGAUCAUGGCUCAGGACGAACGCUGGCGGCGUGCCUAAUACAUGCAAGUAGAACGCUGAAGAGAGGAGCUUGCUCUUCUUGGAUGAGUUGCGAACGGGUGAGUAACGCGUAGGUAACCUGCCUUGUAGCGGGGGAUAACUAUUGGAAACGAUAGCUAAUACCGCAUAACAAUAGGUGACACAUGUCAUUUAUUUGAAAGGGGCAAUUGCUCCACUACAAGAUGGACCUGCGUUGUAUUAGCUAGUAGGUGAGGUAACGGCUCACCUAGGCGACGAUACAUAGCCGACCUGAGAGGGUGAUCGGCCACACUGGGACUGAGACACGGCCCAGACUCCUACGGGAGGCAGCAGUAGGGAAUCUUCGGCAAUGGGGGCAACCCUGACCGAGCAACGCCGCGUGAGUGAAGAAGGUUUUCGGAUCGUAAAGCUCUGUUGUAAGUCAAGAACGAGUGUGAGAGUGGAAAGUUCACACUGUGACGGUAGCUUACCAGAAAGGGACGGCUAACUACGUGCCAGCAGCCGCGGUAAUACGUAGGUCCCGAGCGUUGUCCGGAUUUAUUGGGCGUAAAGCGAGCGCAGGCGGUUUGAUAAGUCUGAAGUUAAAGGCUGUGGCUCAACCAUAGUUCGCUUUGGAAACUGUCAAACUUGAGUGCAGAAGGGGAGAGUGGAAUUCCAUGUGUAGCGGUGAAAUGCGUAGAUAUAUGGAGGAACACCGGUGGCGAAAGCGGCUCUCUGGUCUGUAACUGACGCUGAGGCUCGAAAGCGUGGGGAGCGAACAGGAUUAGAUACCCUGGUAGUCCACGCCGUAAACGAUGAGUGCUAGGUGUUGGAUCCUUUCCGGGAUUCAGUGCCGCAGCUAACGCAUUAAGCACUCCGCCUGGGGAGUACGACCGCAAGGUUGAAACUCAAAGGAAUUGACGGGGGCCCGCACAAGCGGUGGAGCAUGUGGUUUAAUUCGAAGCAACGCGAAGAACCUUACCAGGUCUUGACAUCCCGAUGCUAUUUCUAGAGAUAGAAAGUUACUUCGGUACAUCGGUGACAGGUGGUGCAUGGUUGUCGUCAGCUCGUGUCGUGAGAUGUUGGGUUAAGUCCCGCAACGAGCGCAACCCCUAUUGUUAGUUGCCAUCAUUCAGUUGGGCACUCUAGCGAGACUGCCGGUAAUAAACCGGAGGAAGGUGGGGAUGACGUCAAAUCAUCAUGCCCCUUAUGACCUGGGCUACACACGUGCUACAAUGGUUGGUACAACGAGUUGCGAGUCGGUGACGGCAAGCUAAUCUCUUAAAGCCAAUCUCAGUUCGGAUUGUAGGCUGCAACUCGCCUACAUGGAGUCGGAAUCGCUAGUAAUCGCGGAUCAGCACGCCGCGGUGAAUACGUUCCCGGGCCUUGUACACACCGCCCGUC